GCCUGGGUGGCUCAGUGGUUGAGCAUCUGCCUUUGGCUCAGAUUUUGAUCCUGGGGUCUUGGGAUCCAGCCCCACAUCAGGCU
rfam:Canis lupus familiaris chromosome 7, whole genome shotgun sequence.